CCUACGGGCGGCUGCAGUGGGGAAUAUUGGACAAUGGGCGGAACCCUGAUCCAGCCAUGCCGCGUGUGUGAAGAAGGCCCUCGGGUUGUAAAGCACUUUCAGUGAGGAAGAACGCCUGGAGGUUAAUACCCAUCAGCAAAGACAUCACUCACAGAAGAAGCACCGGCUAACUCCGUGCCAGCAGCCGCGGUAAUACGGAGGGUGCGAGCGUUAAUCGGAAUUACUGGGCGUAAAGCGCGCGUAGGUGGCUUGAUAAGCCGGUUGUGAAAGCCCCGGGCUCAACCUGGGAACGGCAUCCGGAACUGGCAGGCUAGAGUGCAGGAGAGGAGGGUAGAAUUCCAGGUGUAGCGGUGAAAUGCGUAGAGAUCGGGAGGAAUACCAGUGGCGAAGGCGGCCUUCUGGACUGACACUGACGCUGAGGUGCGAAAGCGUGGGUAGCAAACAGGAUUAGAUACCCUAGUAGUC
rnacentral:rRNA from 1 species